GCUUCCCAUUGACUCCCAACUCACAGAGCCCAGGCUGAGAGUAAACAACUUUCCAGAAUCUCCUCAACCAUAAAAUGCUGCCUGGAUUCUGCAGUGGAAAACUUACUUAAACAAUGCCCAGGUUCCAGACACAGAGUCAACUGGAGAUGGCCACAUUUGCAGAGGCUGACUUCAAGACAUAUGUUCACUUUCUCCUCUAAAUUCUAUAAACUCUGUGUCCUUGGAUGAAGCCACUAUAGCUUGGGACCUGAACCACCACAGAACUGCUUUCAUAAAGUGGCUCUCUGUCCUACUCGCCAGCCUUUGUGGCUGGUGCUAUAGGAGAUGCCCAUGGUGCUGGAUUCAGCAUCAGGAUGUACCGGGGCUUUCAAUUCUGAUACUCCUUUCUGGGUUCAGUAUUGAGAAUACAUGUGUUUUCUCUGA